AACAAGGUCCAUCAAAUUCUGCAGCACAAAUGGACACAUUACCAGUCAAGGAGUUGUACAGAAUCCAUCUCCGUAAAAAGAUUAAAAAAACGGAUAAGGAAAUGGUGUACUUGGACUGCCAGAUCCAAAAGGCAGAUCUGGAAAUCGAGUUACUUAAAUACAACUUAGAGGAUAAAAGGAAGACUAAAUAAAAAGAAUGUGUGAGAA